GCGCUGGUUUUACUGAAGUUGUGGCCAACAAACCUCAUAACUCAGUCAGACCACGCCA
rnacentral:pre_miRNA from 1 species